CUCUUUUGUUUUUCCCAUGUAGUUUAGAAGAAAACUAAACUAUUUAGGUUCUUAAUUAUGUAUGAAAAAUCCCUUCACAGCAGUAGCUAGAUGAAUAUUUGAUUGAAUAAUAGGAGAAGGCAUGUGUACACCAGAGUCCAGAAAUCUCCGAGGUCACUUAAAUUCUACCUAACGCACUCUGUCCUCUGUUCCCAAAAAGAUUCCUGUCUCUCCCAAAUGCAAAAUACAAUCAUCCUUUCCUAAGCUUUCCAAGAAUCUCAUUCCAUUACAGGGUCAGCUCAAGUCUAACAUUUCAUCAUUUAUUAAAUCUAAAUUUCACCAUUUAACAUUUAAAUGCCCAAAAUUAGGACUGAUUAGACCCCAAAUUAUAAUCCAUCCUCGGUCACAUUUUCUUUAUAUCUGUGGACCUGUGAAACUGAAGAUAAAAUAAUGCACCUAAAUUAUGUGCCCUUGCAACAACAGUGGAACUGGCAUAGGUUAAAGUUAUAGACAUUCUAUUUCAAAAAAGAUAAAAGUACAAAGUAAAAGGAGUCACUGGGCCAAAGCAAUUUUGAAAUCCAGUUAGGCCAGAGUUCCUUGAUCCAGCUUCAAGACCUGGGACCAAUCCUUUAUGGCUCUCAGCGUCAUAAUCGAGGCUCUUGAUUUCACGUUCUGAAUCAUCCUUCUGUAGUCAUUAAAGGUAGCAAGCACUUGCAGUUAAGCAGUUUCAUCAGCCUGCUUCUACGCAGUAGAAUUUCAGAUACAUGAUAGCUUCUUUUCAUUUCCUACUUUCUCUGUCCUUUUCAGUCCAACCUGGAUGUAUUUUUGUUGAUAUAAUUUUCUCAAGAAAUACAUCAGUCUUCUGGGAAUUGUCCUGGAUUUCCUGAUUUCCCCCUAUUAAACAAAAGCCACAGCUAUAAAUCAUCUUUUGGAGAUUACCUCCUCUUUUUUUUUUUUUUUUUUUUUCCCCCUGCUCCUGCUGCAAUGGUCAGGGGACAACUCUUAAGCUUCCUACAGGUGAUCUAGUCUGUUUGAGAGGAUCUGUAAGGCAUACUCUUAAUCUAUUAAAAGAUCCUUUCCGGCCGGGCGCGGUGGCUCACGCCUGUAAUUCCAGCACUUUGGGAGGCCGAGGCGGGCGGAUCACAAGGUCAGGAGUUCGAGACCACGGUGAAACCCCGUCUCUACUAAAAAUACAAAAAAAAAUUAGCCGGGCGCGGUGGCUCACGCCUGUAAUCCCAGCACUUUGGAAGGCCGAGGCGGGCGGAUCACGAGGUCAGGAGAUCGAGACCCUACACCCUCCUUGCUAACACGAUGAAACCCUGUCUCUACUAAAAAUACACAAAUUAGCCGGGCGUGGUGGCCGGCGCCUGUAGUCCCAGCUACUAGAGAAGCUGAGACACAAGAAUCGCUUGAACCCGGGAAGCGGAGCUUGCAGUGAGCCGAGAUCGCGCCACUGCACUCCAGCGUGGUGACAGAUCGAGACUCUGUCAAAAAACAAACAAACAAACAAAAACCUACUGCAUCAAUGUUUAUGUUAUAACACCUUGAUGUCAUUUUGGGCAAGAAUGUGAGUCAAGAAAAUCUCCAAACUUCUCAAUAGUAUCAAAUUCGAAAAUAAAUUGAUAAACGUAGUUACUAGAAGUCUAGGAAAAGCAGCGGUUCAGACCUUUCAGAAUAAACUCUCCUAGCCAUUUUCAAGUGCUGCAAGAGGAACCGUAGGGAAUGAUUCAAGACCCCGAGUCUUCUGCCUAGGGAUCCUGAUAUACUACUGCCUAAGUAGAGAGAACCCUGGCUCAUAACAUUAAAUAAACGAAAGCUAAGCAGUGCUCAGGAUACCCAAUGCAGGAAAGAGUUGCCACAAAACUCUUUCUUCAAAGUGAAACAAAAAGCCCAUAUCUCAAAUCACAAAGGUAGUUGAAUGUGGAGGAAAAUAGCUUUCAGAGAGGGCACUCAAGGAGUCAAGGAGAAUUGAUUCACAGGAUGCAACAACAAACAAGGGUUUUGGCACAGUUAACCAUAUUCAUGAACAAGAUGAAUAGAAAAUGCAUGGGAAAUUAGCAAGCAUAGCAAGGAAAGAGAUAAAGGAAAUGCAUGUCACUUUUAUUUAAACGUCAAAGACCCCAACCUGAAAGAGAACUCAAUGCAAGGGACAAACGAAAAAAAAAGAUAUCUCUUUGCCUCACAAUCAAGAAAAAACAGUGAGCUUAUAGCUAAAAGGAUCAAUACAAAACUUAUAGAAAUAAAAACUAAAAUAGAAACAUUGUGUUCCACUAGCCAUGUCUGAAAAAAUCAAAGUAUUUAUGUAAAAAAAGGCUUCCACUGGGGAAAAAGCAGGUAAUCCAACAAAUGAAACAAACAUUUAAAUAAAAGUAUGUAUGAAUAUUAAAAUGGUACACGACAUUUAAAAAAAUAUGACGUAGAAUAAGAGACAUCAAAAUAUAUUGCGAUUAUACUAUUGAAGUAGAAAAAUGAAAAAUUCUUCAGGGUCCAUGCAGAAAAUAUCAAGUCACUCGUGGAGAUGAGUGGUAGGUUUACUCACAUUGGCCAUAGAUUUUUUCAUAACGAAUUGCAGACACAAGUGAACGAAUUAUCUAUAGAUCUGAAGAGAAUAUAUUAUAACACAAUAAUACUAUAAACAGCUUUUGUUGGCUUACAUAUGACAAAACAAAAAUGUUCUCAAAAUAUAAUGAAUUCGAAGAAUCUGUAUGAACCUGUAUACUAAGAGACCAAUAAUGAUGUGCUCUGAAUGUGUUAUUUCCGGAUAGAGAUAGAUUUUGGUUACUUUAUUUGACUCUUUUCAUUGCUUCUUAAAAUAAUGUUGACAUAUUAGUUUGUAUAAAAUAAUUAAAUGAUUCUUCUGAAAAGUUUAAAAUGUCAUUUCAAU
rnacentral:lncRNA from 1 species